GGCUCAGGAUGAACGCUAGCGACAGGCCUAACACAUGCAAGUCGAGGGGCAGCACAAGGAGCAAUCUGAGGUGGCGACCGGCGCACGGGUGAGUAACACGUAUGCAACCUGCCUGUAAGCGGGGAAUAACCCGUUGAAAGACGGACUAAUACCGCAUAAUACUAAAUUACUGCAUGGUAAUUUAUUUAAACAUUUAUGGCUUACAGAUGGGCAUGCGCAUGAUUAGCUAGUUGGAGAGGUAACGGCUCCCCAAGGCAACGAUCAUUAGGGGUUCUGAGAGGAAGGUCCCCCACACUGGUACUGAGACACGGACCAGACUCCUACGGGAGGCAGCAGUGAGGAAUAUUGGUCAAUGGACGAGAGUCUGAACCAGCCAAGUCGCGUGCAAGGAAGAAGGAUCUAUGGUUCGUAAACUUCUUUUGCAGGGGAAUAAAGUGCAGGACGUGUCCUGUUUUGUAUGUACCCUGAGAAUAAGGAUCGGCUAACUCCGUGCCAGCCGCAGC
rnacentral:rRNA from 1 species